GAUAAGCAACUGCUUGAUCAUUGGCUGAGAAGGUCCUGGCAACAACACAGUGGUAUCUGCACUGGUUGUAAAUUUUUACUGACAGCUGUUGCCUCUGUUCUCUGGAACCUCCUCAAACCAAAGAUCAGACACAAGCCUAAGCUCUGGGCCCAUUGUCCUAGAUUGUCCUUGAAGUAUGAGGCUGGUGACUGGAGUAACUGUGUUUCUGACCUUGGGGAAUGUGUUUGAUGCUAAGAUCACCCAACCCAGCUCCAUGGAUUAUCCUGAAGGAGAGGAAGUAACCCUGCCUUGUAGCCACUCUACCAUUAGUGGAAAUGAGUAUAUAUAUUGGUAUUGGCAAUAUCCCAAUCAGAGUCCACAGUAUGUCAUUCAUGGCUUACGAGGCACAGUGAACAGCAGCAUGGCCUCUCUCACCAUCUCUUCAGACAGAAAGUCCAGCACUUUGGUCCUGCCCCAGGUCACCCUGAGAGACACCGCUGUGUACUACUGCGUCCUGAGAGAGGCACACUGGGACAGAUGGGGCUGCACGUGUGCAGUAUCUCUGGUGGCAGGAAGAGGGGACACAGCGGGGGGAGCAGUCACGAGAGCAAAUCUAGAGUCAUCUAGAAGGAGAGUCAGAGAGCAGUAAGAGAUGAGGAAAAUGAAGGGAAGGAGAAGGGGAGAAGAAAAACAAAGAAGAAAAGGACAUAAAGAAAAGAAGAAAAGGACAAGGAAGAAGUGCUUCAAUGGUUGAUGUGGCUGAGAAAAUUAUGGGUAUACUAAGGAGUAUGUCAAGGCUGUAUAUUGUCACCCUGCUUAUUUAACUUCUAUGCGGAGUACAUCAUAAGAAAUGCUGGACUGGAAGAAACACAAACUGGAAUC